rnacentral:lncRNA from 1 species
GGGCAGGUACCCUGCAGAGAGAGGGUUGGUGUUGUCUUGGUAACUAGUCAAAAAGGAUAUUUCUUCUUCAAGGCCCUGUGCAGCUUGGAUUCUCCUGGCAAGUCUGUGAAAAUUUUGUAGACUUCCGGGGCUUGGUCUCUGCAGAGGCUGCUCCUCACCCUGGGAGAGAUGGGCCUUCCACCAGCUGCUGUGGGAAUGGCAUAUCUGGCAUUUCAGCAGCCACUUCCUCCCCAGGGAAAAGCCAGG